CAGCCGCCACGGUAAUACGUAGGUGGCAAGCGUUGUCCGGAAUUAUUGGGCGUAAAGGGCUCGCAGGCGGUUUCUUAAGUCUGAUGUGAAAGCCCCCGGCUCAACCGGGGAGGGUCAUUGGAAACUGGGAAACUUGAGUGCAGAAGAGGAGAGUGGAAUUCCACGUGUAGCGGUGAAAUGCGUAGAGAUGUGGAGGAACACCAGUGGCGAAGGCGACUCUCUGGUCUGUAACUGACGCUGAGGAGCGAAAGCGUGGGGAGCGAACAGGAUUAGAUACCCGAGUAGUCCCUGUCUCUUAUAC
rnacentral:rRNA from 1 species